GGCGUCUUAUCCUGCAUAUGCAUGUGACAGUAGGGAGUUGUUGCUGGUUCGCCUGGGGCGUAAAACCCACCUCCCGACAGCUGUCUAGUGAUGAUUUCAGCAUAUUGACACCUGAUUUGUAUGUUCCAGCAUUAUGAUCUGUUGAGCAUAUUCAUGAGUAGCAUAUAUGUUUACUUGAUUAUUCCAUAUAUGCUUCAGAUGAGUUUAUAUUGAUUGUGGUGAUAUUAAUGAUU
rnacentral:lncRNA from 1 species